rnacentral:rRNA from 1 species
GGUUGCCUACGGGGGGCAGCAGUGAGGAAUAUUGGUCAAUGGGCUUACGCCUGAACCAGCCAAGUCGCGUGAGGGAAGAAGGUUUUCGGAUUGUAAACCUCUGUCUUUGGUGACGAAAGAUGACGGUAGCCAAAGAGGAAGCUACGGCUAACUACGUGCCAGCAGCCGCGGUAAUACGUAGGUGGCAAGCGUUGUCCGGAAUUACUGGGUGUAAAGGGAGCGUAGGCGGGAAGACAAGUUGAAUGUUUAAACUAUCGGCUCAACCGAUAAUCGCGUUCAAAACUGUUUUUCUUGAGUGA